CCCUUAGAUGUUCUGGGCUGCACGCGCGCUACACUGAAGCGUUCAACGAGUAUUCACCUUGCCCGGGAGGGUUGGGUAAUCUUUUGAAAACGCUUCGUGAUGGGGAUAGAUUAUUGCAAUUAUUAAUCUUCAACGAGGAAUUCCUAGUAAGCGCGAGUCAUCAGCUUGCGUUGAUUACGUCCCUGCCCUUUGUACACACCGCCCGUCGCUCCUACCGAUUGAAUGGUCCGGUGAAGCGUUCGGACCGUGGCCUUUGGACGGUUCGCCGUCUGUUGGCUGCGGGAAGUUCGUUAAACCUUAUCAUUUAGAGGAAGGAGAAGUCGUAACA
rnacentral:rRNA from 1 species